GACGAACGCUGGCGGCGUGCUUAACACAUGCAAGUCGAACGGAAAGGCCUGCUUUCCCCUGUGGAUUGCGGGUACUCGAGUGGCGAACGGGUGAGUAACACGUGAGUGAUCUGCCCCCAACUUGGGUAUAAGCCUGGGAAACUGGGUCUAAUUCCCGAUAGGACUGCAGGGUGGUGCCUGUGGUGGAAAACGAUUUUCUAGUGGUUGGGGAUGAGCUCGCGGCCUAUCAGCUUGUUGGUGGGGUAAUGGCCUACCAAGGCGGCGACGGGUAGCCGGCCUGAGAGGGUGGACGGCCACAUUGGGACUGGGCUACGGCCCAGACUCCUACGGGAGGCAGCAGUGGGGAAUAUUGCACAAUGGGCGGAAGCCUGAUGCAGCGACGCCGCGUGGGGGACGACGGCCUUCGGGUUGUAAACUCCUUUCGACCGCGAGGAAGCCACCUGGUUGGAAGGGUGGUGACGGUAGUGGUAGAAGAAGCACCGGCUAACUACGUGC
rnacentral:rRNA from 1 species